UGAAUACAUAGCAUAUCAGAAGGCACACCCGGAGAACUGAAACAUCUUAGUACCCGGAGGAAGAGAAAGAAAAUUCGAUUCCCUUAGUAGCGGCGAGCGAAACGGGAAGAGCCCAAACCAACAAGCUUGCUUGUUGGGGUUGUAGGACACUCUAUACGGAGUUACAAAGGACGACAUUAGACGAAUCAUCUGGAAAGAUGAAUCAAAGAAGGUAAUAAUCCUGUAGUCGAAAAUGUUGUCUCUCUUGAGUGGAUCCUGAGUACGACGGAGCACGUGAAAUUCCGUCGGAAUCUGGGAGGACCAUCUCCUAAGGCUAAAUACUCUCUAGUGACCGAUAGUGAACCAGUACCGUGAGGGAAAGGUGAAAAGCACCCCGGAAGGGGAGUGAAAUAGAACCUGAAACCGUGUGCUUACAAGUAGUCAGAGCCCGUUAAUGGGUGAUGGCGUGCCUUUUGUAGAAUGAACCGGCGAGUUACGAUUUGAUGCAAGGUUAAGCAGUAAAUGUGGAGCCGUAGCGAAAGCGAGUCUGAAUAGGGCGUUUAGUAUUUGGUCGUAGACCCGAAACCAGGUGAUCUACCCUUGGUCAGGUUGAAGUUCAGGUAACACUGAAUGGAGGACCGAACCGACUUACGUUGAAAAGUGAGCGGAUGAACUGAGGGUAGCGGAGAAAUUCCAAUCGAACCUGGAGAUAGCUGGUUCUCUCCGAAAUAGCUUUAGGGCUAGCCUCAAGUGAUGAUUAUUGGAGGUAGAGCACUGUUUGGACGAGGGGCCCCUCUCGGGUUACCGAAUUCAGACAAACUCCGAAUGCCAAUUAAUUUAACUUGGGAGUCAGAACAUGGGUGAUAAGGUCCGUGUUCGAAAGGGAAACAGCCCAGACCACCAGCUAAGGUCCCAAAAUAUAUGUUAAGUGGAAAAGGAUGUGGCGUUGCCCAGACAACUAGGAUGUUGGCUUAGAAGCAGCCAUCAUUUAAAGAGUGCGUAAUAGCUCACUAGUCGAGUGACACUGCGCCGAAAAUGUACCGGGGCUAAACAUAUUACCGAAGCUGUGGAUUGUCCUUUGGACAAUGGUAGGAGAGCGUUCUAAGGGC
rnacentral:rRNA from 1 species